rnacentral:rRNA from 1 species
AAAACAUUUCUUUUUAAAUAAAAAGUAGGCUCUGCUCAGUGAGGAAUUAAAUAGCCGCGGUAUUUUGACCGUGCAAAGGUAGCAUAAUAAUUUGUCUCUUAAUAAGAGGCUGGAAUAAAUGAGUUUAUAAUACUUUAACUUUUUUUUCUUUUUUUUAAAAAUUGAUAUUUUUAUAAAAAAGUAAAAAUAAAUCAAAAGGACGAUAAGACCCUGUAAAACUUUAUAAAUUUAGUGGUUAAAAUUUAUUUUUUAAAUUAAGUAAAAUUUAUUGAGCUGGGGCGGUUUUUAAUAUUCAUUAAAAAAGUUAACAAAAUUUGAGAUUUUAGAGCUUAUAACACAAUUGGAAUAAGUUACUUUAGGGAUAACAGCACAAUUAUCUUUUAGAGAUCUGAUCGAAAAGAUAGUCUUGUGACCUCGAUGUUGAAUCGGAUACUCUGGGCGGAGCAAAAGAUGUCUAAGAAGGUCUGUUCGACCUUUAAAAUUUCACGUGAUCUG